AUGAAUUGCAUAAGUUGGAACUGUCGGGGGGCGGCCAAUAAACCGACAGUUCGCGACUUAGUUGGCAUGGUGAAGGCAACACAGACAAAAAUUUUGUUUUUAUGUGAGACUAGACAGAGUUCAGAAAAAAUAAAAAGAUUACGUACUCGGUUAGGCCUUAGAGGUUUUUCCGGUGUCAGCAGUAAUGGGUUGAGUGGUGGCCUUGCUCUUUUCUGG
rnacentral:rRNA from 1 species